AGAGCCCUCCUCCCGCCUGCUCUGUGUAGGAGACAGCCUGCGGAGCCCACUGCCGGCGCGCAGAGAGCCCAGCAGCUCUUGAGUCCAGGAAGCAAGGGUGGGAGGAGGGACGAGCCAGUGGCAAUGACCCAGACCCGGACGACCCCCAUUGCUGAGCCAGCGGAGCUGCUUGGUGAGUGGCCUCCAGGCGGCAUCUCUUGCUCUCAGCCCGGAGGGGGUUUUGGGGACCCAGGCUGUGGGGCUGCCUCUUCCCAUGCCUUCAGUUCACCCCGAUAUGGGGUGAAAAACCCUAGAGACCCUCGGGUGUCGGUCCACCAAGGGAGGUCCAGACUCCCCAGGAAUGUUGCCUGGGGAGGGGUGUCGCGGUGGGGGGGGGGGUGACCCAGGCCCACCCUCUGCAGGGCACUUAAAAUGCUCCACAUCCCCAGUGGAUGCCUCCUGUCACGCAUCACACCGUGGUGUAUUUGAGAUCCCAUCUGCCACUUGGGCUGGAGGGAAAUGAAUGUUUUUGGGUUUCUUGUCAUUGCUUCCUGCGGAUUCCAUUUUACUCCUGUUCGUUUAUGGCCUCAAACAUGAAUUUGAAGAAUUUUGCCCUCCCUGGCAGUAUUGGGAAGAAGAUUCUUUUGUUCAAGUCCGUUUGGACAAUUAGAUGGGAGUAUUAACAAAAGGUCGGGCUGGGCACAGUGGCUCACACCUGUAAUCCCAACACUUUGGGAGGCCAAAGAGCAAGGAUCGCUUGAGCCCAGGAGUUCGAAACCAGCUGGGGCAACAGAGGGAGAACUUGUCUCUACAAAAAAUUUAAAAAUCAGCUGGGCAUGGUGGUGCACGCCUGUAGCCCAAGCUAUAUGGGAAGCUGAGGUGGGAGGAUUGCUUGAGCCCGAGAGUUUGAGGCUGCUGUGAGCUGAGAUCACGCCACUGCAUUCCAGCCUGGGCAACAAAGCAAGACCCUGUCUGAGGUCAACUCUGCCCCCAGGAAGGUAUGGGACCUUGCAAUCUUAUCUAGGUUGCGUCUUUUUCAUUGAAAUCACGAAAUCAUUAAGGUAAGUAGGGAAGGGUCAAGAUAGCUAAGAUGAGUGAGGGGACACAGACACCAAUAAAAGUUCUAACUUUGAGGACUCCUCCAGUAUUCUUUUCAUCCUAAAGCUUCUGGCCUAUCAGCUAGUUCAGACACAGCCUAGGAGUCUCAAGCCAGUACAGGAACAAGGAGGCAGGUUGCCCUCUUGGGGCAAAGCUGUGGCCCCACCCUUGAUGAAGAACGCCUGUAGGAACCCAGGACCUGUGAGCAGGUAGAGUCCUGAAGGUUUAAGAUUCUGUGGAGCAGGUAUGUGCAGUGCCAGUGCGCAACCAGCAACUGAUGGACAGGAAUAGGUAGAGCUGCUCUGAGUGCAUUCCUUUGGCAAGCCUGGGCCAGAGGCACACAGGAAGGAAUUAGUCAUGUGGUAUCAUAGGCCAGGUGUGGAAGCAAAUGAGCCAGAGUGGAACCAGGACCAGCCAGGGCCAAGGCAGGGAGAAGAGUUCCUCUAGCUGACAUUGACAGGAAAGCAGAGUCAAAAACCUGGAAUGGUUUGCUUCAAAGACUGGAUGCUGCCUAAUGACCUCGAAGGCCAGUGAUACCUGGACUCUUGAGUGAGCAAGGCAGAUUUUGGAAUGAGCACACAACUUCAAGUAAGCCCGGAGAUGAUUACCUGUAGUUUCUGCUGCUCUUAGAGGCAGAAUCAUCUGAGAACUGAUUGAGGAGUGCAUGUAUACCCCAGAGACUAGUGCACUCUAGGAUAAAAGGAGUCAUUCAGCCCUUACUUUUGGUUGGAUGCAGGGUGUAGUUUCAAUAAAAUGUCACAGAACAAAUUUCUAAGACCUUUAGGUUGAGUGAGUGUUAGAGUUUGUCUAGUAGUAUAUUUCUCAUCAGUUACCUAUUUAGCUGUUCUGCAUAGGCCUUUGAGAUAAGGAAAUAAGUAAGAUAAAUUCUCCCCAGAAACCGCAAAACAAUUAUAAUGUUGAGAGAAGAAUGAAGUAGUAACUCUGUCUGUACUGAAGAAGGAAUUCGGUGUACAGAAAAGAGGUCACUGCCUGAGGUCGGGAGUUUAAGAUCAGCCUGGCCAACAUGGUGAAACCCCAUCUCUACAAAAAUACAGAAAUUAGUCGGGCAUGAUGGUGGGUGCCUGUAAUCCCAGCUACUCGGGAGGCUGAGGCAGGAGAAUUGCUAGAACCUGGGAGGUGGAAGUUGCAGUGAGCCAAGACUGUGCCAUUGCACUCUGGCCUGGGCAACUGAGCGAGACUCCGUCUCAAAAAAAAAAAAAAAAAAAAAAAAGUAACGUGACUGGUCACUGUGAGCUGGAUUGGAGGAAGGUGGGAAUGGAGACUAAGGGCUCUUGCUGAGAGGAGUUUGAGUAAGCCUUUUUCAGGUUCUCUUGUCUUUAGCAUUUAAAUCCUGGACUUUAUAAGUAGACUGACAGUUGUGGCAUCAACACAACUAAAAGGCAGGGUUACCCUCUUAGAGUACACUUGGAAAAUCAGUCUGAAAUGAAAGAAACUUUCUUGGUGAAGUGGAAGUGGAAGUUUUGGUUGGGUGCAGUGGCUCAUACCUGUAAUCCUAACAUUUUGGGAGGCAAAGGUGGGAGGAUUGCUUGAGACCAGGAGUUUGAGACCAGCCUGGGCAACAUGGCGAGAUCCCUUUUCUUUUUCUUUUUUUUGGGGGGAGACGAGGUCUGGCUUUGUUACCCAGGCUAAAGUGCAGUGCAAUGGCAUUCUAACACUCACCCAACCUAAGGGUCUUAGUAUCCAUACAAAAAGCAUUGACAAAAAGCAUGCCAUAUGUUAAGAUCAAGGUUUAUCUUUGGGUGUUGAGUGCAACACUUGUUAUAAGAAGCAAAAUAAACUUAGAAGCAAAGGAGUGGAUGAGGAUCUGUCUUGGGGGAAAAUCCAAAGAUUAGUUGUGAUCAGAGUAUAGUACCUUUUGGCCUGACUUAUAUAACAAACUCUGCAAUAUGUUAAAACCUUUAAUGAAAACAAGGGAGAUGUUGGACUCUAAUGUCACUCUUAAUAAUGAAAUAACCAACAUUUGUUGAGCUUUUUACUACAUACCACAGGUGUUCUUCUAAGCUUUUUACUUUCAUUAGCUCAAUAGUCUUUGCCUUAUCAUAUAAUAGGCACUACUGCAUGGAUAUAUGUUGUCAUUUACUGAGGAAGCAGUUAUCAAGAGCCCAGACAAUAAGCUGAGAAAUCUGAGUUGACUUUAAAGUCCUCCUGUGUUUCAACAAGGGUGCCAAGACCAUUCGAUGGAGGAGGGACAGUCUUUUCAAAAAAUGGUACUUGGAAAGCUGGAUACCCACAUACAAAAGAAUGUUGUUGGCCUCCUUACCUUAUACCAGAUACAGAACUUAAAGUGGAUCAAAGACCUAAAUGUAAAACUGUUAGAAGAAAACACAGGGCAAAAGCUUCAUGAUGUUAGAUUUGGCAAUGAUUUCUCAGAUAUGACUCCAAAAGCAUAUGCAACAACAACAAAAAAGAUGAAUUGGAUUUCAUCAAAAUUAUAAACUUUUGUGCAUCAAGGAACAUGAAGAAGAAUGAAAAGACAACCCACAGAAUGAGAAAAAAAUAUUUGCAAAUCAUGUAUCUGAUAAGAGAUUAAUAUACAGGAUAACAACCCAAUUGAAACAUAAAGUAGCCAAGUGCAUUGGCACACACUUAUAGUCCCUACUAUUCAGGAGGCUGAGGCAGGAGGAUUGCUGAGCCCAGAAGUUCGAGACCAGCGUGGGCAACAUUGCAAGGCCCUAUCUCAAACAAUAAAUUAUAAGCAAAGGACUUAAAUAGACAUUUCUCCAAAGACGAUAUACAAAUGGCCAAUAAGAACAUGAAAAGAUGUUCAACAUCACUAGUCAUUAGGGAAAUGCAGAUCAAAACCACAAUGAGAUACCAGUUCAUACCCAUUAGAAUGGCUGUCAUCAAAAAAAUGGGGCCAAGCACAGUGGCUUACGCCUGUAAUCCCAGCACUCUAGGAGGCCAAGGCAGGUGGAUCACCUAAGGUCAGGAGUUCAAGACCAGCCUGGCCAACAUGGCAAAACCCCAUCUCUACUAAAAAAAAUGCAAAAAUUAGCUGGUUGUGGUGGCAGGCGCCUGUAGUCCCAGCUACUUGGGAGGCUGAGGCACGAGAAUUGCUUGAACCUGGGAGAUAGAGGUUGGAGUGAGCUGAGAUCACGCCACUGCACUCCAGACUGGGUGACAGAGGAAGACUCCAUCUCAAAAAAAAGAAAAAAGAAAAGAAAAAAUGGAAAAGACAAAAUUGUUGGCAAAGAUAUUGAGAAAUUUGAACCCUUGUUAUUACUGGUAGGAAUAUAAAAUGGUGCAGCCACUGUGGAAAACAGUUUAAUUUGUCCUCAGAAAGUUAGAGAAUUACCUUAUGACCCAGCAAUUCCAUUUUUAGGUAUAUAUUCAAAAGAAUUGAAAGCAGAGACUGAAAUAAGUGCAGAUACUUGGAUGCCAGUAUUUAUAAUAGCAUUAUUCACAGUGGCCAAAAUGUGGAACCAACCCAAGAAUUGAUGAGCAGAUGAAUGGAUAAACAAAAUAUGAUUUAGACAUACAACGGAAUAUUAUUCAGCCUUUUUUUUUUUCUGAGAUGGAGUUUCGUUCUUGUUGCCCAGCCUGGAGUGCGAUGGCACAAUCUCAGCUCACUGCAACAUCCGCCUCCUGGGUUCAAGCAAUUCUCCUGCCUCAACCCCCCGAGUAGCUGGGAUUACAGGCACACGCCACCAUGCCCAGCUAAUUUUGUAUUUUUAGUAGAGACGGGGUUUUUCUCCAUGUUGGUCAUGUGUCCGGAAUUGAUGGGUUCUUGGUCUCACUGACUUCGAGAAUGAAGCGCGGACCCUCACGGAGGCAGAGGUUGCAGUGAGCUGAGAUUUUGCGACUACACUCCAACCUGGGCAACAGAGCGGGACUCCAUUCCAAAAAAAUAAGAAAAACAGAAAAAUAAUAAUUACAUCUGCAAAGACCUUAUUUCCAGGGUCCACGAGGCUGGUGUCAGACCUAUUGGGAGACCCUCUGCGUUAGUGAGAAAAACGGCAAGAAAUGGGAGCACGCGGAAACCUCCAAGACUAGAGCCACCAGAUGCCACCGACAGCACGCAGCUGGACCAGCACGGGGGAGGGCCUUCGUGGGUCGAGAGCUCGCUCGGGAGAUAGUUGGUGCUUUUCUUUCAGGAGAAGAAUCCCUGGCGGAGUCUGACCGUUCUCUGGCGCACAGCCCCGGGGGUGGGCACAGCAGCCGCCCCUGCUGAAGGGACUGACGCCUCCGACGACCAGCAGCCAAGUUAAACGCACUGUUCCGUGAGCAGCUUUGUUGGAGACAGCGCGGUUCACAUUCUCUUCCAACGGAGCCGCUGACUGCGGAGCUGGGAGGGGACGUGACAGAACCCAGCCAUCCAACGUCCCCCCACCCCUCCCCAGCUGGGACCUCCGGCUGCUUCCGGGCUGCGCUGGGUGGCGUCAAGGAGCCGCCCCUCUGGGCCGCGUCCCUCCCUCACGCCCUGCACACUGGCCCUGUGUGGCCGGCGGGGCGCCUAAAAGGGCGGAAGGAUGCAGGGGCGGAGGGGGCUCGGGAUUGCACGCCUAGCUCAGACCCCCCAGCCAGGACCCCUCGCGCUGUUGGACACGCCAGCCUCCCGACCCUGCGGCUCCUACGGGAGGUGACAAGGACCCUGCCAACCUGGCCUGAAUGGCCCAGUUUGAUACAGAUCAGGUUUUCAAUGAAUGAGACCGCGGUGUGGUCUAGGCGGAGGGAUGAGAGGAGGGGAUUCUGCUGGGAUAAGUGGGGGCGGGGUAAGGAGGGGAUUCUUUUCCUGGGCUGAGGAGAACGCAGGGACAAAGUACACAGGGGUAGUUGAGUGAGCAGGUGAGGCCCUAGGCUGGUUCCCCACCUUCUCAGGAUCGGAGCCACUCACUUCCUGGUACUCUCUGCAGUCUCCUGGCGUUAAAUAACAUCCCUUUGCUGGAGACUCUGGAUUCACAUCCAUAAUCGCAGCCUCCCCUACUCAUCCCCUCACGCUUCCCAUGAACUAACCUUGAAGGACCCGACCAGAGCCCUGACCUCCGUCCCACACACCUGCUACAUGGAAGGUGUUCUCCACAUCAGUUCAAGGCAGUGUCACUCUUCAGGAUGUUCAGGCUCUAAACCUUGGACUCCUCCUCCAGAUUUCUCUCUCCUUCCUUCUCCUUGUCUCUCCCUUGCACUUACGGUUCACUUUUCCUUCGUAGCUUUGUAGCUCAUUCCCCCUUCCACUUUCCACACCACCUUCUGGUCUGUUAAUUAAAUAUUACCUGGUUUCCACUGACACCUUCCCUGGGUUCCCAAUUGAAAAUCACAACAUCAUCCUCCUCCUCUGCUUUUUUUCUCCAAAUUAUAUCCUCACCCAAUUAUGUGUUAUUCUCAUUAAUCUUGCUUAAUUAAUUAGCAGACAUUAUUAAUGCCUGUUUCCCCUAUCACCACCACUAGACUAUGAACUCCUAAGGACUCCUUCCUUCCACCACUGUUGUACUCGCUUCACCUAGAACUGCUUGGCACAUACAAUGUGCUCCAUAAAUAUUUGUUGAAUGAAAGACUAGACACAACUUAGGAUUCACUCCCCCAUGUGGCAUCCAUAAGCCCUGUAUGCAGGUAAAAUGUCAGUGGGUUGACUAAAUACUGGAAGUGGAAAAAACUUCACCUCUUUGGUUUGCAGUUGUCUAGGAUAUUUAGGCCAAUGGAAAAUCCAGUUUUCCUUAGAAUUAAGCCAGUGCCGCCAGACUUGCCAGUUUACCAUGCUUGUCUGACUGGUCCUCAGCAUGGGUCAUACGUGUCCAAUGAAUUCAAACAAAAUCUUGAGAAGACACGAACCUUGCCCUUCGGCUGGGCGCGGUGGCUCACGCCUGUAAUCCCAGCACUUUGGGAGGCCGAGGCAGGCGGAUCACGAGGUCAGGAGAUCGAGACCAUCCUGGCUAACAUGGUGAAACCCCGUCUCUACUAAAAAUACAAAAAAUUAGCCGAGCGUGGUGGCGGGCGCCUGUAGUCCCAGCUACUCAGGAGGCUGAGGCAGGAGAAUGGCGUGAACCCGGGAGGCGGAGCUUGCAGUGAGUGAGCCGAGAUCGCACCCCUGCACUCCAGCCUGGGCGACAGAGCGAGACUCCGUAAAAAAACAAAAAAAAAACCUUGCCCUUCAUUCCCCAUUUCUAUCAUAAUCUACACAGAGUUUUGAACAGGCAUUUUAAAAUCAACAAUAUAUUAUUUACAAUUUUGUUAGUAUACAUAACUCUAACUCACUGUUAAAAAUCACCUGUCUUUAUAUCCAUUAAAUGACACUUGCAUAUGCUCCAAUUUUUCACUAAUGAUUUCGAGAGCAUUCUGGGACACAGGUGUCUGGACCUUUCAUAAGUAAACAGAAUUCCUAGCGACGGAAUUGUGUAUGCAGUAUGGAAACACCUUAUAAUAUACUGUCCUGGAUAUUGUAAAGGUGAACCAACAUUCUGUUAAAUUUAGAGCAAGUUGCAGAAAACUAUAUGAUACUUAAUUCUGUGCUAUAUGUAUAAUGGUUUCUUAGGGUUUUUUAAAUUUUUUUUUUCUUAGAGACAGUGUCUCACUCUCUUGCCCAGUCUGGAGUACAGUGGCACAAUCACAGCUCACUGCAGCCUCGACCUCCUAGGCUCAAGUGAUACUCCCACCUCACCUCCCAAGUAGCUGGGACUACAGGCAUGUGCCACCAUGUCCAGCUAACUUUUUUUUUUAUAUAAGAGAGAGGGACCCCACUACGUUGCCCAGGUUAGUCUUGAACUCCUGGGCUCAAGCAAUCCUGCCUCAGCCUCCCAAAGUGCUGGCACUACAGGCAUCAGCCACUGCACCCUGUCUGCUGCCAUAUAUAAUGUACAUUUUAAGAACUCUAUAUAGAUUCAUUUAUGUAUAUGUUUAGAAAAAAAUUCUGGAAUGGGCUGGGUGCAGUGGCUCACACCUGUAAUUCCAGCACUUUGGGAGGCCGAGGUGGGCAGAUCAUGAGGUCAGGAGUUUGAGACCAGCCUGACCAACUGGUGAAACCCCACCUCUACUAAAAAAAUACAAAAAUUAACUGGACAUGGUGGCACACACCUGUAAUCCCGGCUACUCAGGAGGCUGGGGCAGGAGGAUCACUUGAAGCCAGGAGGUGGAGGUUGUGGUGAGCCGAGAUCGUGCCAUUGCACUCCAGCCUGAGCAACAGAGCGAGACUCUGUCUCAAAAAAAUAGAUAAAAGAAAAGAAAAGAAAAUCUGGAAUGAAUCAAAAUACAGUCAUGCAUCAUUUAACAGGGAUUCAUUCUGAAAAAUGCACUGUUAGGAGAUUUCAUAGUUGUGCAAACAUUAUAGAGUGUACUUACACAAACCUAGAUUGUAUAGCCUACUAUACACCCAAGCUAUAUGGUAAAAGCUUAUUACCCCUAGGCUACAAACCUGUAUGGCAUAUUAUACAACUGAAUCCUGUAGGCAACUGUAAUACAAUGGGUAGUACUGUACCUUUUAUAGGACUGGCAGUGCAGUAGGUUUGUUUACACAAGCAUCAUGCCAAACACUUCAUGUGUUGUGCUGUCACCAUUCUGAUGGUUACGACGCCACUGUUAUAGGAAUUUUUCAGUUCUAUUAUAGUCUGAUGGGACCAUUAUUGUAUUUGAGGCCCAUCAUUGACUGAAAUGUCAUUAUGUGAUAUAGAUAUAUGAGAUACUAUUCAGCCUAAAAAGAUGGAAAUCUGGCCGGGCGCGGUGGCUCAUGCCUGUAAUCCCAGCACUUUGGGAGGCCGAGGUGUGCCGAUCACAUGAGGACAGGAGUUUGAGACCAGCCUAGCCAACAUAGUGAAACCCGGUCUCUACUAAAAAUACAAAAAUUAGCUGGGUGUGAUGGCGCACGCCUGUAAUCCCAGCUACUCUGGAGGCUGAAGCACAAGAAUUGCUUGAACCCAAGAGGCAGAGGUUGCAGUGAGUCGACAUUGUGCCACUGCACUCCAGCCUGGGCAACAGAGUGAGACUCUGCCCCAAAAAUAAAAAUAAAAAGAUGGAAAUCCUGUCAUUUUCGGUGACAUGGAUAAACUUGGAGGAUAUUAUGUUAAGUGAAAUAAACCAGGCACAGAAAGAAAAAUAUCUCAUGCUUUCACCUAUGUGUGGAAUGUACAGAAGUUGAACUCAUAGAGAAUAAAAUGGUGGUUACAAGAGAUUUGGGGGUGGGGGGAUUCAGGAGCCAUUGGUGAAGAAACAACAGCUGUUCCAUGAAGGUUCCCAUUGAUAAAUGCAGAAGGAAUGAGAGAGAGAGAGAGAAAAUCACCACUGGACCACAGUAAUCAUUGCCUCAGGCAAAAUUGACCCCUGAUGCUAAAACUCACGGGUGAUGGUUUAGGCAGAAACAAGAUAUUUGCAUAGUCUGAAGUAUCUCCUCCACAAUAUUUAGUAAUACAAAUGGAAGAACCACAAGUUUUCAGUAAAGAACACAAGCAAUUUCCUAGCCAAGUGAUCAAAAUUAACAUCACCUGUCCUGAAAUACGAUGCACUGAGAAGGGCACAUGAUCACAUCAUUUUGUAGCAUCCUUCUCAAUAAUGUAUAGCUUCAGUCUAAUCCUGAGAAAACAUCAGACAAACCCAAACUGAGAUGCAUUCUAGAAAAUAGCUGAUAUUCUUCAGAAGUUCCAAGGUCAUGAAAGACAGGAUAGACUAAGAAACUGUGAAAGAUGAGACAAGACCAAGGACAUAGGACAACUAAACAUGAUGUGGGAUUCUGAAUUGUAUCCUAGAACAGAAAAACUAAAAUCAUGAAAAAAAUGGUGAAAUGCAAAUAAUUUCUUGGUUUUGAAAAUUAUUUUGUGGGCUGGGCACGGUGGCUCACACCUGUAAUCCUAAAACUUUGGGAGGCCAAGGUGGGUGGAUCACCUGAGGUCAAGAGCUCGAAACCAGCCUGGCCAACGUGGGGAAACCCCUUCUCUACUAAAAAUACAAAACUUAGCCAGGCGUGGUGGCAGGCAUCUGUAAUCCCAGCUGCUCGGGAGGCUGAUGCAUGACAAUCGCUUGAACCCAGGAGGCGGAGGUUGCAGUGAGCCAAGAUCAUGCCACUGCACACCAGCCUAGGUGACAGAGCAAGACUCCAUCUCAAAAAAAAAAGAAAAAAAAUUGUUCUACGGUUAGGUAAGAUGCUAACAUAAGUAGAAGCUGUGUAGUGGGUGUAUUGAAACACUGUGAUUUUUGAAAUUCUUUUGAAAGUCUAAAAUCUCAAAAUUAAAAAUGAAAAAAGUAAAGGUACAAUGUAUAAAAUAUCCUGCCACACAUUAAAAUACAUACAUAUACAUACAUAUAAAAUAUGCAUAUAUUACAUAAAAUUUAUUUGGGUAGAGCUGGAAGACUGAGAGCCAUGAAUGGGAGAGGCUUUUCAUGUUUUAUUUUUAUAAAUAUAUGUAAUAGAGGCGGGGUCUCACUAUGUUGCCCAGGCUGGUCUUGAACUCCUGGGCUCCAGAGAUCUCUCCCACCUUGGUCUCCCAAAGUACUAGGAUGACAGGCGUGAGCCACUGCGCCAGCCACUUUUGUUCACAUACCCUUUUAUAUCUUCUGAAUUUGCUACAAUGACAUAUAUUACAUACUUUAAAACAAAAAUUAAGUAAAAUCAAAGAAAAGGUUGGCAACAUAAUGAGUGGAUUGCUAGACUUAGCCUAAUAAUUGGCUCAGGUUUCACAGAACUGGACUGUGAAACAAGGUCCAGUUUCCUUUCUGAAUCUAUCAGUCACCAACAUAGCUGGUCUGGGAUGCGUUUUCUUUGGAGGUCUUUGAAAACUACUAAAACCCAAAGUAUCAAGAUAUAUCCUGGUAAUAUUUUUGCAAUUCUGGGAACAUAUAUAACAAAUUGCAUCCCAUUCCAGUAUUAAAAUAAGUAUAGAAGCCAGAUGCAGUGCUUCACACUUGUAAUCCAAGCACUUUGGGAGGCUGAGGUGGGCAGAUCACCUGAGGUCAGGGGUUCAAGACCAGCCUGGCCAAUAUGGUGAAACUUCAUCUAUACUAAAAAUACAAAAAUUAGCUGGGCAUGGUGGCAGACUCCUGUAAUCUCAGCUUCUCGGGAGGCUGAGGCACGAAAAUUGCUUGAACCUGGGAAGCAGAGGUUGCAGUGAGCCAAGAUUGCGCUACUGCACUCCAGCCUGCCUAAGUGACAGAGCAAGACUCCAUCUCAAAAAUAUAUAUAUAAUAUAAAAAAUAUAGAGAGAGAUAAUAAAGAAACAAAUUUGAAGUCAUGGAAUUCGCCUUUCUUAAACUGGUUUCAAUGAAACUGUUAUCUAUUUUGUAUUCACUACAAUCAUAAGGAGACAACAUAGCAUAAGAGCCAAGAUUCAAACCUCAACUUUUCCAUUUACUGGAUGAGUGACUUUAGAUAAGUUUUUUAGUUUCUCUGUGUCUGAAAUUCAAGGCAGUAAUCAGAGAACCAAUCUCAUGGGCUUCUUUGAAUAUUGAAGAAGAGCACACAUCCAAAACAGAAAGGACCUGGCACUUGAGCAAGCCCUCAAAGGUUAACAAAUAAAUUUUUAAGAUAUUCUAGCUACUUUUAAAAGUUUUUAGCAUUUAAGAGAAUAUAAUAUAUUGGAUUUUGAUUUAAUUAUUAUUAUUUUUUGAGACAUAGUCUCACUCUGUCACCCAGGCUGGAGUGCAGUGGCACGAUCUUGGCUCACUGCAACCUCCACCUCCUGGGUUCAAGUGAUUCUCCUGCCUCAGGUUCCCAAGUAGCUGGGAUUACAGGAGCCCGCCACCACACCCCGCUAAUUUUUGUAUUUUUAGUAGAGACGGGGUUCACCAUGUUGGCCAGGAUGGUCUUGAACUCCUGACCUCAAGUGAUCUGCCCACCUUGGCCUCCCAAAGUGAUGGAAUUACAGGUGUGAGCCACCACGCCUGGCCUCUGAUUAUUUUUAAAUUGAGCAAAUUAUAUUUUUAAGUCUGUAAGUUUUGGGUUAUUAGUUAUGAAAGCAGGUACAUAUGCAUUUAGUGUUUUUAUUGCGGAAAUGUUAAUUAGUAGUCAUAAAUUAAGUAAUCAGGGAUUAAACAAAAUGAGUAUUCUUUAUCUUCAACCAGAAUGAAUCUUUCCAUAUAGCUCCCUGAAUCCUCACCCUUCCUGCCUCCUGCUCCUACUUAUACUCCUCCUUCUACCAGAAACUGCUCCCCUCCACCAGAGCUCUAAAUCACAACCCCUCUGCUUUCACUGGGGCUUGGAGGCUGCUACCUCUAGACUCUCCCUCCCACUGCAUCAACUCUGCCCUCCCUCACCCGACACCCCGAGUAAUUAAGCUCCCUCUUCCCCCAGCCUCUCCGUUCCCAGCUAUUUCCCCAUCCCAACAAAAAUUACCCAGGUUUUCCCAUCCAGGAGCAUCAGUUCUGCUUACUAAAAACGUCCACUAAACAUAUUCCACAUGCAUCCCCAUUUAAAUUUUUCAACUCACUCCAACCUGGUUUCUGAGAAUCUCACUCCUGCAACUGAACUGCUUGUGCUAAAGCUAGCAGUGAGCCCUGUGGUUCACAAACCAAGGAGCUAUUUCAUGCCCUCAUCUGACUGGACUGCUGGACAGAAUUCCCCAGAAUAGAUAAUACCCUCCUUCUAGCUUGGGGUGGGGGUUGGUGCCCCG
rnacentral:lncRNA from 1 species